ensembl:lncRNA
CUAACAGCUACAACAUUGCCGAACUAGUUAAUUGUGUGUGGCUGGUGUUGUCGCGGAAUAUAAAGACAAGACUCAUUUGCUGUGUCGUUUUUUUCAUACGGGUCUGUAACAUGGAUAUAUGGCCUUGUGGGAACUCUAACCCUAUCAAGGGUAUGAUGCAAUAGUCCAGACGGGAGAGGACAAGUGCCUGGAUUAAGACCUGCGCCACUUCUUGUGUGAGGUAGGGUCGUACUCUACAGAUGUUGUAGAGCAUGAACCUGCAGGAGGGAGUCACUGCUUUGAUGCUGGCAGAGAACGACA